rnacentral:rRNA from 1 species
UACGUAGGUGGCAAGCGUUGUCCGGAAUUAUUGGGCGUAAAGCGCGCGCAGGCGGUCCUUUAAGUCUGAUGUGAAAGCCCACGGCUCAACCGUGGAGGGGUCAUUGGAAACUGGGGGGACUUGAGUGCCAGGGAGAGAAAAGUGGAAUUCCACGUGUAGCGGUGAAAUGCGUAGAGAUGUGGAGGAACACCGUGGCGAAGGCGACUUUUUGGCCUGUAACUGACGCUGAGGCGCGAAAGC